rnacentral:rRNA from 1 species
CACGUAGGGUGCGAGCGUUGUCCGGAAUUAUUGGGCGUAAAGAGCUCGUAGGCGGUGUGUCGCGUCGGCCGUGAAAACCUGCAGCUUAACUGUGGGCGUGCGGUCGAUACGGGCAUCACUGGAGUUCGGCAGGGGAGACUGGAAUUCCUGGUGUAGCGGUGAAAUGCGCAGAUAUCAGGAGGAACACCGGUGGCGAAGGCGGGUCUCUGGGCCGAUACUGACGCUGAGGAGCGAAAGCGUGGGGAGCUAACAGG